rnacentral:rRNA from 1 species
UGGGGAAUAUUGGACAAUGGGGGCAACCCUGAUCCAGCAAUGCCGCGUAUGUGAAGAAGGUCUUCGGAUUGUAAAGCACUUUCGACGGGGACGAUGAUGACGGUACCCGUAGAAGAAGCCCCGGCUAACUUCGUGCCAGCAGCCGCGGUAAUACGAAGGGGGCUAGCGUUGCUCGGAAUGACUGGGCGUAAAGGGCGUGUAGGCGGUUUACACAGUCAGAUGUGAAAUCCCCGGGCUUAACCUGGGAGCUGCAUUUGAUACGUGUAGACUAGAGUGUGAGAGAGGGUUGUGGAAUUCCCAGUGUAGAGGUGAAAUUCGUAGAUAUUGGGAAGAACACCGGUGGCGAAGGCGGCAACCUGGCUCAUGACUGACGCUGAGGCGCGAAAGCGUGGGGAGCAAACAGGAUUAGAUACCCUGGUAGUCCACGCUGUAAACGAUGUGUGCUAGAUGUUGGGUAACUUUGUUAUUCAGUGUCGCAGUUAACGCGUUAAGCACACCGCCUGGGGAGUACGGCCGCAAGGUUGAAAC